CACCUGCUCAUUUCAGAGAAAAGGAUAACCAACAACUUGGCAGUUAUUUUUGGUUACUUGUUUGUUUUCAUGUUUGUAAAACACCAAGCCCAGUGUUUUCAAACUCCAUGACAUGUACUUCUCUUCAACUCCAGUCCUGCUGUCCCAGACCAAACCAACACAGCCUGUCCUCUGGGGCCCUAGGAUCUCUUGUGUCUGACACUUGUCACCUUGAACCUAGCUUGGAUUUCACUGCUCAUGAGCCCAUAACUCAGGAAGGAAAGAAGACAUGGUGCUGCAUCUAACACAGUUUAUCCACACAGUUGUUCAGCAGCAGGUUCACAGAAGAGA